rnacentral:lncRNA from 1 species
GAAGGGGGGAUUACAAAGUUUUCCCCAAGUCCUGUAAUUUCUUGGAUCUUCAAAAAGACGACUUUCUAAAUUUCAAUAUGAGUAGAGUAAUGCUAUUUAUUUUGAAUCAUUUAAAUUCAAAUAGGAAUUCUUUGCUUAAUUUGGAUGUGUAUUCUAUAUCACAUGUGAUAAGAGAUAGUCAUUUACGCCCCAAUACGUUUAUCGAAGAAUCAGAAAGAUAAA